GCAGAAAUGGGAAAGUAUGCUUCUAGAUCCAGAUCUGAAAAUCAGACAAAAGGAACUUGAAAAAUGCCAGAAAAAGAAAUUAGAGCUUCAUAAAAAUACAGUUGUUUUCACAGAUGGCUCAAAAACGGCCGCAGACGAGGAAGCUCACUAGGCUUUCAUUCUGAAACAGAGCAACAAGGUCAUAGCUUCAAAAGAGGGAGUAGUGCAAGGCACAGUAUAGUACGCAGAGCUCAUGGCAGUGUUCCAGGCUUUGAAAACACUGACAAACUUGGAUAUUUACAGGCAAUAAUAGUGACGGAUUGCAGUUGCAACAGGAAUUAAUGACAAUUUGCAAAUCUGGAAUGAGAACGGUUACACCAAGUCAAAAGAGAUCAAACGUCAAAAGACCAGCCAGAAGACUCUUGUUGAGUAGGAGACCACGUCUGGAUCAGGAAUGAUGAAAUUACAAGACGGAGAUGAGAGAGAGAAAUGGGCCAGGAGAAUACAACCCUGGCGAAAACCCUGUAUACCACGACCUUGUAUGACGGUAUUAUUAGUAACAGGGGUUGUGAUUUUAACAGGAAUUUGGCCAAAAAUUGAUUUCACUACAAAAUUGAUUGUGGUUGAUGAGAUUACUGUUAGAGAAAUUUCCAACUGUACUAUAGUGACUAAAUUCUUUUCAGGGCCAUGUGAGCAAAAAAC